GCAGGUUUAGCAAUUUGGUAAAUGCACCGUUCUCAUAAAGCGGCUAAAGUGGGUUCAACUCCCACAACCUGCA
rnacentral:tRNA from 2 species